rnacentral:lncRNA from 1 species
AAUAGGUCUCUUUAGUACAGGUUUGCCUUUUCAUUCAGCACAAGACCCCAGCCUAUAGAACGAUACCAUCCACGUUCAAAGUGGGUCUUCCAACUUUCAGGUGUAGUUUCACACAUGUGUAGGGAACUGUGGUUUCAGUUUCCAAGUGUAGAAACUCCCUCUAGACAUGCCCAAAGGUCCCUUUCCAUAGUAAUUCUAGAUCCUGCCAAAUUGACAACCAAUAUUAACCACACAGGCACUGCGGGUAUACAGGGGUUUUAUUGGUUAAUAGUGGGAAGAAGGUUAGGUGUGGCUUAGUUGUACAGUGUUUUCCUAGCA